AAUAGAACUCCAGUGUAGUAAGCCAUAACUAUGAACAAUAUCAUGUCCCAAAUAAAUAAUCUAAUUUGUAGAUCUGCAAUUGGUCACAUGAUGGUCCGAACAUUAUUUGUAUGGCUCUAUUUGUUGACAGCAAAUACCGCUAAUAAUUAUCUUGGAUAAAAUACCUCGUUUAGUAAACGAGGCAAUUUUACCCAGCCUCGUUCUGAACAAAAUACCUCGUUCCAAAAACAGGGCAAUUAAAAAAAAACACGUUUUGGAACUCCAGAGAAACGAGGUAUUUUUUUUACCUCGUUACAACGAGGCAAAAUCGGGGCAAAAAUUUUGACACGUUUUUGCCUCGUUUGGACAGAAAUGCCGAACGAGGCAUUCUGAGGUUUAUAGUGUAUACGCAGGUAGAAGCUGGUACCUCCCGUGGCAAGUCCAAGUUGUUUGACAACCAAGGGUUUAGUUAUACAAUUAAGACAGAGAAGAAAACUACGAUUUGGAGGUGUUCCAAAAGAAGCGGACCAACACGAUGUCCGGCAACAGUAAUCCAAGAUGGUGAUACAUACCAACCAGGCUUAAAGAACCAUCUUCACCCAGCAGAACCCGGUAUACACACGGCUACCAAGAUAAAAGUUACAGCAAAGCAUGAAGUCAAAGGAAAUGUUUUUACCAAGUCAUGUUCCUCAAUAGCGGAGAGAGUUUUAUCCAGUGUCGGUUCUGCAGAAGAACCCAUUCAUAGCAGACCACCCAUGGCAGCACUUGUAAGGUCGCUACAAAGAACCCGACAGACUCUGCGACCAAAAGAUCCCACUGACGUGUCGUCAAGCCUUGGCGAAAAUUUCAUCGAUCAUAGUGCACCGGGAUUUUAUCAAAAAAGAGUAAAAGUUGGGGAAAGGCGCCAUCACAUUUUUUGUACUGAUAGACAGAUGCAACUACUCGCACGCGCCAAAACUUGGUAUAUGGAUGCAACUUUUCGGGUGGUGAACAAGCCAUGGUCUCAGCUGUUUUCCAUCCACGCCUUCAUUAAGACUGGAGAGACCACCCGACAGUUACCGUUGGUGUUUUGUGUAAUGUCGGGUAAAAGCCAAGACGACUAUUAUAAGGUCAUUUUCAAAUAAAUUCAUCAGCAUAUUAUUCGUUUUAAAUAAAUAUAAAACUUUUAUGAGAAACGAUGAUUAUCAAAGAACCUCAGUGAUGAUAUGUGACUCUUUCCACCUUCCAGCAAUAAUUAUUGAGAAUUUACCAAGGACUCCAUUGGCAUUGAAUCGAAGAAAAACAGUUUCAAUAUUGGAUGUAUAUGCAAAUCACCCAGAAAAAGAUCAUGUAAUAACAAAAGAAAUUAUAAAAGAAAAAAAUGGAAGAAGAAAUGGCUGGAAAAAAUGAUGAUAGAGCAGCUUUUUCUUGUUACCCACCUCGGAAGAUCAAGUUGGAAAGGGCUAUUGAUAUUGUGGAGACGUUUUCUCACAGAUCUUGCUUAUCAGACAAAGACUAUGCUGGAACACCAUUGAAAGAGUAUUUGCUGUAUGAUAACAACAAGAAAACCCAAUCAUCAAUUUAUUUUAUACUUCUGGGAAAGAAUGCAUUUGACCCAAUUUUUAAAUAUUUAUUUUUUGUUAUUAAUGUUAAAUUUUCUUCCAAAACACAAUUAGAUUUUAAUUCUCUUCAGAAAUGUAUGUAUAAUAUAGCAAGUAAAGUGGCAUAUAAAUCACUUAGAAUUUGGUCAGAAAUCAUAAAGUAUUUAAUAGGCAUUACUAGAAACCAAAUGUAGAUCAAAUACA